GACGAACGCUGGCGGCGUGCUUAACACAUGCAAGUCGAACGGAAAGGCCCUUCUUUUGUGGGGUGCUCGAGUGGCGAACGGGUGAGUAACACGUGAGUAACCUGCCCUUCACUUUGGGAUAACCUCAGGAAACUGGGGCUAAUACCGGAUAGGAGCUUCUUCUGCAUGGUGUGGGUUGGAAAGUUUCGGCGGUUGGGGAUGUACUCGCGGCUUAUCAGCUUGUUGGUGGGGUAGUGGCUUACCAAGGCUUUGACGGGUAGCCGGCCUGAGAGGGUGAACGGCCACAUUGGGACUGAGAUACGGCCCAGACUCCUACGGGAGGCAGCAGUGGGGAAUAUUGCACAAUGGGCGGAAGCCUGAUGCAGCAACGCCGCGUGCGGGAUGACGGCCUUCGGGUUGUAAACCGCUUUCGCCUGUGACGAAGCGUGAGUGACGGUAAUGGGUAAAGAAGCACCGGCUAACUACGUG
rnacentral:rRNA from 1 species